rnacentral:misc_RNA from 1 species
GUGCUUUAUUGACUUGGGCAAAAAAAGCCCUUGCAAUCAUACAUUCAUUACACAUUCGAUGGAGUUUUAAAAACAAAAAAACAUAGGUCGGUGGACCUACAACGGGUGCACACGGUGUGAGGGAGGGUCAGAAAUAGUUCGAGGAGUGCACGUGCAACGCUUGCCGCCAGCAACAUCCUCGAGUUUUUUUCAGUAAUGAUCCUUCCGCAGGUUCACCUACGGAAA